rnacentral:rRNA from 1 species
CGGUGCCUACGGGAGGCAGCAGUGAGGAAUAUUGGUCAAUGGCCGGAAGGCUGAACCAGCCAAGUCGCGUGAGGGAAUAAGGCCCUAUGGGUCGUAAACCUCUUUUGUCAGGGAGCAAAGGCGUCCACGAGUGGACGAAAGGAGAGUACCUGAAGAAAAAGCAUCGGCUAACUCCGUGCCAGCAGCCGCGGUAAUACGGAGGAUGCGAGCGUUAUCCGGAUUUACUGGGUGUAAAGGGAGCGUAGACGGAGGAGCAAGUCUGAUGUGAAAAUCCGGGGCCCAACCCCGGAACUGCAUUGGAAACU